UAGGGAAUAUUGCGCAAUGGGGGAAACCCUGACGCAGCAACGCCAUGUGAGUGAGGAAGGCCUUAGGGUUGUAAAACUCUGUCAGUGGGGAAAAAUGGCAUACUGGUAAAUAAUCAGUAUGAUUGAUGGUACCCACAGAGGAAGCACCGGCAAACUUCGUGCCAGCAGCCGCGGUAAUACGAAGGGUGCGAGCGUUGUUCGGAUUUAUUGGGCGUAAAGCGCGCGCAGGCGGAUUAAUAAGUCAGGUGUGAAAUCUCGGGGCUCAACCCCGAACGUGCGCCUGAAACUGUCAAUCUAGAAUAACGGAAGGGGAAGGGGAAUUUCACAUGUAGGGGUAAAAUCCGUAGAGAUGUGAAGGAACACCAGAGGCGAAGGCGCCUUCCUGGACGUUUAUUGACGCUGAGGCGCGAAAGCGUGGGGAUCAAACAGG
rnacentral:rRNA from 1 species